AUUGAACGCUGGCGGCAGGCCUAACACAUGCAAGUCGAGCGGAUGAAGGGGGCUUGCUCCUGGAUUCAGCGGCGGACGGGUGAGUAAUGCCUAGGAAUCUGCCUGGUAGUGGGGGAUAACGUCCGGAAACGGGCGCUAAUACCGCAUACGUCCUGAGGGAGAAAGUGGGGGAUCUUCGGACCUCACGCUAUCAGAUGAGCCUAGGUCGGAUUAGCUAGUUGGUGGGGUAAAGGCCUACCAAGGCGACGAUCCGUAACUGGUCUGAGAGGAUGAUCAGUCACACUGGAACUGAGACACGGUCCAGACUCCUACGGGAGGCAGCAGUGGGGAAUAUUGGACAAUGGGCGAAAGCCUGAUCCAGCCAUGCUGCGUGUGUGAAGAAGGUCUUCGGAUUGUAAAGCACUUUAAGUUGGGAGGAAGGGCAGUAAGUUAAUACCUUGCUGUUUUGACGUUACCAACAGAAUAAGCACCGGCUAACUUCGUG
rnacentral:rRNA from 1 species